GAUUUUCUAUCAUUUCUAGAAGUAGUCAGGAAGAAAGCUGAUGAGAGAAGAUUUAUCAUGGAAAAGUGUUCUCUAUGGCCAAAACAUGGGAAUGUGGCAGGCAAAUCUGUUGCUGUACAGUUUUUAUAUACAGAGGAUGAAAUUUCUUGUGCUGAUUAGAAGGUGACACCUGAGUACAAGAAUAAAAAUUGGAGUAUUGAGAAGAUCACAGUUUCAUAUUUACAAGAGAUAGACAUGCUGGCAGAAGAAAUAGCUACCCAGCCUGCACUGCCCUCCUUGAGCAGUGCCUUUCUGCCCCCACCCAUCUCUCUCCCAGCCUAAGGUCUGUCCCAUGUUGUGUCACUGUGCAGAUGGGAAGGCAAGGUGGGCUCUUCUGAUCUUUGGUGCAUUUACCCAGAAGAUGCAGCUGAUGAAUGAUCUUUUGGAUACCACAAAGCAACAUCUGCAGCGUGACACACAGUGUCAACAUUGCUGGUGUCAUACGGAGAAAAGUAGGUGUUCUUUGACAAACAAAACCCAAAAAAGGACAGAAAUUCUGAAAGGGAGUUUUGUCCAAUUUUGGUUUUUGUUGUUAAAAAAAAAUCCCUCUGGUUUAUUUGGAAAGCUCUUCCACUAGUAGACUUUAUUUUCUUUUCCUUCUUUCAGAAAAAAAAAAGGGGGGGACGGA